GCCAGGCAUGGUGGUGCACGCCUGUAAUCCCAGCUACUCGGGAGGCUGAGAUGGGAGAAUCGCUUGAACCCGGGAGGCUGAGAUUGCAGUGAGCUGGGAUCCCACCACUGCAUUCCAGCCUGGGAAACAGAGUAAGACUCUAUCUCAA
rnacentral:SRP_RNA from 1 species